rnacentral:rRNA from 1 species
UACGGAGGGUGCAAGCGUUAUCCGGAUUCACUGGGUUUAAAGGGUGCGUAGGUGGGUUGGUAAGUCAGUGGUGAAAUCCCCGAGCUUAACUGCAGAACUGCCAUGGAUACUAUUUAUCUUGAAUGUCGUGGAGGUUAGCAGAAUAUGUCAUGUAGCGGUGAAAUGCUUAGAUAUGACAUAGAAUACCCAUUGCGAAGGCAGCUAACUACGCGAUAAUUGACGCUGAUGCACGAAAGCGUGGGGAUCAAACAGG